rnacentral:rRNA from 1 species
CUUCCUACGGGGGGCAGCAGUGAGGAAUAUUGGUCAAUGGGCGGGAGCCUGAACCAGCCAAGUCGCGUGAGGGAAGACGGUCCUAUGGAUUGUAAACCUCUUUUGUCGGGGAGCAAAGAGGCCACGUGUGAUCAAGAGCGAGAGUACCUGAAGAAAAAGCAUCGGCUAACUCCGUGCCAGCAGCCGCGGUAAUACGGAGGAUGCGAGCGUUAUCCGGAUUUAUUGGGUUUAAAGGGUGCGUAGGCGGGCUGGUAAGUCAGCGGUAAAAAUCCGGAGCUCAACUC